rnacentral:misc_RNA from 1 species
ACAAAAUGUGGAUUUUCAAUUCAUAAACACAUUCCGCGUACUUAUCCUUGUUGCUUCCGCAUGUUUUGUGGCAAUAGCUUUUGCCAUUCCUCUCCACUAAGGGGAGCUUGCGGGAGAUUAUAAUAACCUCUGUCAUUCUCAUAUUGUCUGAAUCUUUUGCCUUUGCAAGCAUUA